rnacentral:rRNA from 1 species
UGGGGAAUAUUGGACAAUGGGCGCAAGCCUGAUCCAGCAAUGCCGCGUGUGUGAAGAAGGCCUUCGGGUUGUAAAGCACUUUUAUCAGGAGCGAAACGCUGUCGGCUAAUACCCGGCGGAACUGACGGUACCUGAGGAAUAAGCACCGGCUAACUUCGUGCCAGCAGCCGCGGUAAUACGAAGGGUGCAAGCGUUAAUCGGAAUUACUGGGCGUAAAGCGUGCGUAGGCGGUUUCUUAAGUCUGCUGUGAAAUCCCCGGGCUCAACCUGGGAAUGGCAGUGGAUACUGGGAGGCUAGAGUGUGUCAGAGGGUGGUGAAUUCCCGGUGUAGCGGUGAAAUGCGUAGAGAUCGGGAGGAACAUCAGUGGCGAAGGCGGCCACCUGGGACAACACUGACGCUGAGGCACGAAAGCGUGGGGAGCAAAUAGGAUUAGAUACCCUGGUAGUCCACGCCCUAAACGAUGCGAACUGGAUGUUGGUCUCAACUCGGAGAUCAGUGUCGAAGCUAACGCGUUAAGUUCGCCGCCUGGGAGUACGGUCGCAAGACUGAAACUCAAAGGAAUUGACGGGGUCAUAGCUGUUUCCUG